UACGUAGGGUGCGAGCGUUAAUCGGAAUUACUGGGCGUAAAGCGUGCGCAGGCGGUUUUGUAAGCCAGAUGUGAAAUCCCCGGGCUUAACCUGGGAAUGGCAUUUGGGACUGCAAGGCUUGAGUGCGGCAGGGGAGACUGGAAUUCCUGGUGUAGCAGUGAAAUGCGUAGAUAUCAGGAGGAACACCGAUGGCGAAGGCAGGUCUCUGGGCUGACACUGACGCUCAUGCACGAAAGCGUGGGGAGCAAACAGG
rnacentral:rRNA from 1 species